GUAGAACGCUGAAGGAGGAGCUUGCUUCUCUGGAUGAGUUGCGAACGGGUGAGUAACGCGUAGGUAACCUGCCUGGUAGCGGGGGAUAACUAUUGGAAACGAUAGCUAAUACCGCAUAAUAGUAGAUGUUGCAUGACAUUUGCUUAAAAGGUGCAAUUGCAUCACUACCAGAUGGACCUGCGUUGUAUUAGCUAGUUGGUGAGGUAACGGCUCACCAAGGCAACGAUACAUAGCCGACCUGAGAGGGUGAUCGGCCACACUGGGACUGAGACACGGCCCAGACUCCUACGGGAGGCAGCAGUAGGGAAUCUUCGGCAAUGGACGGAAGUCUGACCGAGCAACGCCGCGUGAGUGAAGAAGGUUUUCGGAUCGUAAAGCUCUGUUGUAAGUCAAGAACGGGGAUGGGAGUGGAAAGUCCAUCUUGUGACGGUAGCUUACCAGAAAGGGACGGCUAACUACGUGCCAGCAGCCGCGGUAAUACGUAGGUCCCGAGCGUUGUCCGGAUUUAUUGGGCGUAAAGCGAGCGCAGGCGGUUAGAUAAGUCUGAAGUGAAAGGCUGUGGCUUAACCAUAGUAUGCUUUGGAAACUGUUUAACUUGAGUGCAGAAGGGGAGAGUGGAAUUCCAUGUGUAGCGGUGAAAUGCGUAGAUAUAUGGGGGAACACCGGUGGCGAAAGCGGCUCUCUGGUCUGUAACUGACGCUGAGGCUCGAAAGCGUGGGGAGCGAACAGGAUUAGAUACCCUGGUAGUCCACGCCGUAAACGAUGAGUGCUAGGUGUUAGGCCCUUUCCGGGGCUUAGUGCCGGAGCUAACGCAUUAAGCACUCCGCCUGGGGAGUACGACCGCAAGGUUGAAACUCAAAGGAAUUGACGGGGGCCCGCACAAGCGGUGGAGCAUGUGGUUUAAUUCGAAGCAACGCGAAGAACCUUACCAGGUCUUGACAUCCCGAUGCCCGCUCUAGAGAUAGAGUUUUA
rnacentral:rRNA from 1 species